GGAAUCUUGCGCAAUGGGCGAAAGCCUGACGCAGCGACGCCGCGUGGGGGAUGAAGCUUCUCGGAGUGUACACCCCUUUCGACCAGGAAGAAACGCCCGCAAGGGCUUGACGGUCCGGGUAUAAGAAGCCCCGGCUACCUACGUGCCAGCAGCCGCGGUAAGACGUAGGGGGCUAGCGUUGCUCGGACUUACUGGGCGUAAAGGGUUCGUAGGCGGUGCGGCAAGUCGGGAGUGAAAUCUCCAGGCUUAACUUGGAGGCUGCUUCCGAAACUGCCGUGCUAGAGUGCGGGAGGGGCGAGUGGAAUUGCAGGUGUAGCGGUGAAAUGCGUAGAUAUCUGCAGGAACACCCGUGGCGAAGGCGGCUCGCUGGACCGCAACUGACGCUGAGGAACGAAAGCUAGGGGAGCAAAC
rnacentral:rRNA from 1 species